CGCGGAAGAGGCGGGGCUUCCCCAAAGCAGGUGGGAAACGAAAUGUAAUAAUAGGCCGUCGUGAACGCGCACGGAGCAGGACGCGCCAGCAUGGCGACCCAAAGGGAGUGGAGCGAGAUCGGCCACAGAAAGAGCUGGAUUAACCUGAUCCUGGGGCUCCUGCAGCUGAUGCCGCCGCUGAUCCCGCGCGGAGGAGCCCAGCUCGCAGCUCUGUCAGAGAUCUCCAGUGUGGUGGAGGUGUGGCAGGCAGAAGAGGCGGAUUUCUUGGUGCCUCCUCAGGCUGUAGAGGAGAGGAGUCCUGAGAGUCUCCCCCAGGAGGAAAGGUGAGUUUUACACACCCCACACACACACACACCCAACACACACACCCCUACACGCCACAGUUAUCCCUGAUU
rnacentral:lncRNA from 1 species